GCGGGCGGGCCGGCUGCCUCGCUCAGCGCUCACCCGUUCAGACAGGCAGAUGUAACUUCAGGAGGCAACCGUGGAAGAAGGAGGGAGAAGGGGGCACGGGCUUGUUCACAGCUGCCCAAGGACUUGAAGACCUGAGAGGGCCGGUGGUCUGCAGGCGUGGCCACGGAGGCGACACGGCCCGAAGCGCGGGUGAUAUUUGUGGAAAACCAGCCAGAGCAGAAUCUCUCGGCAUUCAGCUAACCCAGUCUGGGGGCCAGAGGUGACACCACUUGAAAUUCCGAGACUGGGACAGAGACAGGAUGGAAACAGAGGCAUUUUCUGAGGCGAUCUGUGUACAGCACCAGUGAUUAAACUGCUGGAUGAGAACUCAGCUUCAUACAGUUCCCAUUCAGUUUUCUAGCAUCAGGCCAGAGCUUUGCCUCUCUGCUGUUUCAGCGUUUGUCCUGAGGAGGACAAACGCUGUACAAGGAGGAAGCUGGAGCAGUGCACCUAUGCAUGCACGUCCCUCGCUGCCCUAAGAUACGUCCCUUAGCAAAAAAAUAUUUAAGACUUCCCCGAUGGAAUUAAACUAAUACAACUUUGUCAUCCUUCACCCUAAAAUAAGAGAAAAUACAGGGACCUUUCGUAUGCUUCUGGUUUUCAACUUUCCCAUGAACAUCAACAUCAAAUCUUUCCAGAGUCACCCUACCCCCAUCCCUUAUGAUGCAUUUAGAAAGGUGGUGUUUUCUUCCAUACUUUGCACAAUCGUGGAACUGGCAGUUCCUUUACCUGUAUCCUGUACUGCUUGGUACAGCUUGGAAGGUUUGCUUAAAAUUAGCUUUGCAGGUAAUACCCAGAAGAGUUGAGAUGCCAAGCAGAAUAGCAGGCAUUUGACAACUGUUAUUCUGAAAUCAGUGGAAUAUAUGAUGCCUUGUUUCCAACCCUGCUACUGUACUCCAAAUGAGCUUCUUAGAGCAUAGACCAGCACUGGGCUGCCCACACCAAGAGUGGGCAGUCUGUGUGGUGGGCAGCAGUACAUGCCUCCUCCUACAUGGGAGCUUGCUCUCCUGUUACAAGCAAACCACAAGCUAUGUGAAUGUGAUUAAGCAGUAGCACUUGGUACCAGCAGUCAGGGCCUGAAGCUUACCUUUCCUUAGAGUAUAUGCAGAGUAAACUAGGCUCCCCUUUGAAAUAACUGAGGCUGUCUUCACAGAUUCCUUCGCUAAGAUUCAGAAAGCUCUCAGGCAGUUAAAGAGUCUGGCUCGCACAACUAAGAAACACGCAACUUUGCUCUGAAGGUUUUUAGCAGUCAACAGAAAUAGCACUUGGUAAAGGUCAGCAACUCAUCUUUCUAGACCUAAUAACAAUAACAGGGCCAGCAAGGUUGUUCUGUGACGAUGCCCACAGUGAUUUAUGACCUACGGGGGCUGUGUUACAGCAGGAGCAAAAAAAAUCAGUAAUACUAGUUGCAGCUUGGAGGAGUUAAUAAAACCUGCAGCUGAGGGUAGGGAAGGCUACUCUGCCCUUGUUAGCUAAUCUUUCUGUGUGGCUUUUAGCAGGUUACUUCUCCCAUACAGAAUUAAGAACCAGGGAAGCCAGAGAGUUUGGCAAGAAAGCUGUGAAAAGACCAGGAAGCUCAGCUCCGCUUUCAAUCAGUACUUGCAGUUACACUUUUAUAGCCUGCAGCUAGUUCCUUUUCACAUGUAUUUUGUUGGUUGGGAAGAAGAGAAGAUGACAAAAUUAACAAUCUGUGGACUGAAUAACUUGGCUGGGGGAAAGGCAGGGCAGAGUUGCAUGCUGGAAGGACUGCUUUCUAAUUUUGUGCCACAGAGGGACAGAUGGGAAACUACUCCUGAGAGCUGAAUGCAAUGUAGAGUUGUUAACUUGCAUCUUUCCCUAGUAAACGUGACACUGUAGCAUCAGGAGUGAAAACUGAGCUGAAGAAUUACCUCUUAUCAAUCAAAUGACAAAAGUGUGAAGGGAAAAGAUAACACCCCCCCCAACAAACCCUCCUCUUGCCAGCUAGACCAUUAAUGGGACUAGGAUCUCUAAGAGGCUGAAAUAACAGUUCAUCCUCUGCACUUAAAUCAGCACGGCUGCAGAACCGAUGUGCAUAGAAAUGGAACUAAAGGAAGAACAGCAGCAUUGACAGCCACGAUGAUAAAAGGAUAAACUUGCCAGCUGUCAUCAGCUGUCUUCCUAUAACCCAAGUAACUGUCAUUGAAUCCUCUCUGGAAAUGGGACAUGCUCCACAGAUAGCCUUGUCAGUCAUGCUGUGUUUCUAAGGGUAAGCUCAGCCUCUGACUAUGUCAUAAUUCUCUUAAGAAAGACAAUAACUGGCUCCAAAUGAAGGCUAUAAACAGUCAAGAAGCCCUGACUUCUCUUCAGAGUGGAGACUGGCUAAGUAAAUGUGCAACGCAGAAAAGCCUGUGUGGGAAGGAUCCUUUGGCUGCGUAGCAACCUUACACGGGCAUAUUUUUGUGGCAGGAAUCUG